rfam:Stegodyphus mimosarum contig117064, whole genome shotgun sequence.
GCCUUCGUAGUGUAGUGGUCAGUACGCUCGACGCGUAUUCGAGAGGUCCGUGGUUCGAGUCCCGGCGACUGCA